ensembl:snoRNA small nucleolar RNA SNORD113/SNORD114 family
UGGAUCUGUGAUGACCACUGGUGCCGUAUGAGUCUUGGAUCGUGACUACAGGUCUGGGAGUCUGAGGUCCAC